GCUUAUGGAUGGGCUUGCGUCUGAUUAGUUAGUUGGCGGGGUAACGGCCCACCAAGACGACGAUCAGUAACUGGUCUGAGAGGAUGAUCAGUCACACUGGCACUGAGACACGGGCCAGACUCCUACGGGAGGCAGCAGUAGGGAAUAUUGGGCAAUGGGCGCAAGCCUGACCCAGCCAUGCCGCGUGCGGGAUGAAGGAGCUUCGCUUCGUAAACCGCUUUUAAUUGGGACUAAGGGGUUUGUAACUCAAGCCAUUGCAGGUACCAAAGGAAUAAGGACCGGCUAACUACGUGCCAGCAGCCGCGGUAAUACGUAGGGUCCAAGCGUUGUCCGGAUUUACUGGGUUUAAAGGGUGCGUAGGCGGCUGUUUAAGUCGGUGAUGAAAUGCCGGGGCUUAACCUUAGGCGCUGUUACCGAUACUGGACGGCUAGAGCUAGGUAAGGCAGCUGGAAUAAGUGGUGUAGCGGUGAAAUGCGUAGAGAUCACUUAGAACACCGAUUGCGUAGGCAGGUUGCUGGCGCUAAGCUGACGCUGAGGCACGAAGGCAUGGGGAUCAAACAGGAUUAGAUACCCUGGUAGUCCAUGCAGUAAACGAUGGAUACUAGCUAUUUGGGAUGCAAGUCUUGAGUGGCCAAGCGAAAGUGUUAAGUAUCCCACCUGGGAAGUACGCCCGCAAGGGUGAAACUCAAAGAAAUUGACGGGGGCCCGCACAAGCGGUGGAGUAUGUGGUUUAAUUCGAUGGUACGCGAGGAACCUUACCUGGGCUAGAAUGCGCGCGACCGGCUCAGAGAUGGGUUUUCCCCGCAAGGGGCGCAAAGCAAGGCGCUGCAUGGCUGUCGUCAGCUCGUGCCGUGAGGUGUUGGGUUAAGUCCCGCAACGAGCGCAACCCCUGUGAUUAGUUGCCAGCGCGUCAUGGCGGGGACUCUAAUCAGACUGCCUUCGUAAGGUUGAGGAAGGGGGGGACGACGUCAAGUCAUCAUGGCCCUUACGCCCAGGGCUACACACGUACUACAAUGGUCGGUACAAAGGGCAGCAAGACCGCGAGGUGGAGCGAAUCCCAAAAAGCCGAUCUCAGUUCGGAUUGGAGUCUGCAACUCGACUCCAUGAAGUUGGAAUCGCUAGUAAUCGCGUAUCAGCAACGACGCGGUGAAUACGUUCCCGGGCCUUGUACACACCGCCCGUCAAGCCACGGAAGCUGGGGGCGCCUGAAGUCGGGGGAUCAAAUCCCUGCCGAGGGCGAAACUGGUAACUGGGGCUAAGUCGGAACAAGGUA
rnacentral:rRNA from 1 species